rnacentral:rRNA from 1 species
GACGAACGCUGGCGGCGUGCUUAACACAUGCAAGUCGAACGGAAAGGCCCCGUUGGGGGUACUUGAGCGGCGGACGGGUGCGUAACACGUGAGUGACCUUCCCGUGACUUCGGGAUAACUACAUUAAAGUGGGGCGGAUACCGGCUAGGAAUCCUCGCUGCAUGCUGGGGGUUGGAAAGCUUCGGCGGGUUUGGGUGGACUCGCUGGUUAUCAGCUUGCUGGUGGGGGUGGUGGUUACCUAGGCUUUGUCUGGUAGCCGGCCUGCGGGGGCGACCGGCCACAUUGGGGCUGAGAUACGGCCCAGGCUCCUACGGGGGGCAACAGUGGGGAAUAUUGCACCAUGGGCGGGAGGCUGGUGGCGCAACGCCGCGGGCGGGAUGACGGGCUUCGGGGUGUAAACCGCCUUCAGCAGGGGCGGAGCUUGUGGUGACGGUACCUGCAGAAGAAGCACCGGCUAACUACGUG